CCUACGGGGGACAGCAGUGGGGAAUAUUGCACAAUGGGGGAAACCCUGAUGCAGCGACGCCGCGUGAGUGAAGAAGUAAUUCGUUAUGUAAAGCUCUAUCAGCAGGGAAGAAAAUGACGGUACCUGAGUAAGAAGCCCCGGCUAACUACGUGCCAGCAGCCGCGGUAAUACGGAGGAUGCGAGCGUUAUCCGGAUUUAUUGGGUUAAAAGGGUGCGUAGGCGGACUGUUAAGUCAGCGGUAAAAGCCCGGGGCUCAACCCCGGCGAGCCGUUGAAACUGGCUGUCUUGAGAAGUCGAGAGGUAUGCGGAAUGCGCAGUGUAGCGGUGAAAUGCUUAGAUAUUGCGAAGAACUCCGAUUGCGAAGGCAGCAUACCGGCGGCGAUCUGACGCUGAGGCACGAAAGCGUGGGUAUCGAACAGGAUUAGAUACCCCGGUAGUC
rnacentral:rRNA from 1 species